rnacentral:rRNA from 1 species
UACGUAGGUGGCAAGCGUUAUCCGGAAUUAUUGGGCGUAAAGCGCGCGCAGGCGGUUUCUUAAGUCUGAUGUGAAAGCCCACGACUCAACCGUGGAGGGUCAUUGGAAACUGGGGAACUUGAGUGCAGAAGAGAAAAGCGGAAUUCCACGUGUAGCGGUGAAAUGCGUAGAGAUGUGGAGGAACACCAGUGGCGAAGGCGGCUUUUUGGUCUGUAACUGACGCUGAAGCGCGAAAGCGUGGGGAGCAAACAGG